rnacentral:rRNA from 1 species
UACAGAGGGGGCAAGCGUUGUUCGGAAUUACUGGGCGUAAAGGGCGCGUAGGCGGCCCGCUAAGUCGAACGUGAAAUCCCCGAGCUCAACUCGGGAACUGCGUCCGAUACUGGUGGGCUUGAAUCCGGGAGAGGGAUGCGGAAUUCCAGGUGUAGCGGUGAAAUGCGUAGAUAUCUGGAGGAACACCGAUGGCGAAGGCAGAUCUCUGGGCCGUAACUGACGCUGAGGAGCGAAAGCGUGGGGAGCGAACAGG